GUCCACGCCGUAAACGAUGGACACUAGACGUCGGGGGAGCGACCCUCCCGGUGUCGUCGCUAACGCAGUAAGUGUCCCGCCUGGGGAGUACGGCCGCAAGGCUGAAACUCAAAGGAAUUGACGGGGGCCCGCACAAGCGGUGGAGCAUGUGGUUUAAUUCGAAGCAACGCGAAGAACCUUACCUGGGCUUGACAUGCUGGUGUAAGCCGGUGGAAACAUCGGCCCCUCUUCGGAGCGCCAGCACAGGUGCUGCAUGGCUGUCGU
rnacentral:rRNA from 1 species